rnacentral:rRNA from 1 species
GACGAACGCUGGCGGCGUGCUUAACACAUGCAAGUCGAACGGAAAGGCCCUGCUUUUGUGGGGUGCUCGAGUGGCGAACGGGUGAGUAACACGUGAGUAACCUGCCCUUGACUUUGGGAUAACUUCAGGAAACUGGGGCUACUACCGGAUAGCAGCUCCUGCUGCAUGGUGGGGGUUGGAAAGUUUCGGCGGUUGGGGAUGGACUCGCGGCUUAUCAGCUUGUUGGUGGGGUAGUGGCUUACCCAGGCUUUGACGGGUAGCCGGCCUGGGAGGGUGACCGGCCACAUUGGGACUGAGAUACGGCGCAGACUCCUACGGGAGGCAGCAGUGGGGAAUAUUGCACAAUGGGCGGAAGCCUGAUGCAGCAACGCCGCGUGCGGGAUGACGGCCUUCGGGUUAUAAACCGCUUUCGCCUGUGACGAAGCGUGAGUGACGGUAAUGGAUAAAGAAGCACCGGCUAACUACGUG